UACGGAGGGUGCAAGCGUUAAUCGGAAUUACUGGGCGUAAAGCGUGCGCAGGCGGUUUGGUAAGUCCGUUGUGAAAGCCCCGAGCUCAACUUGGGAAUUGCAGUGGAUACUGGCAGGCUGGAGUACGGUAGAGGAAGGUGGAAUUCCCGGUGUAGCAGUGAAAUGCGUAGAUAUCGGGAGGAACACCAGUGGCGAAGGCGGCCUUCUGGACCAGUACUGACGCUCAUGCACGAAAGCGUGGGGAGCAAACAGG
rnacentral:rRNA from 1 species